rnacentral:lncRNA from 1 species
GGAGUUGGGGGUCAAAGAAACAAAAAUCAUGUAAGCAGUUGAACAUUUCCUCAUAAAUUUCUAUAAUAUUCUCCACCCAAUUCAUUUCUUUGGGAAAUGAAAUAUAAGUAUAUAUUAGAGUUGUCAAUUGGUCAGCCCAAAAAAUGGAACGAUUUAGACAAAAAUAUAAAUCUGAAAAAUGAGAUUGGAUAAAAAAAAAUAAGGCUCAUUUAGAAAAUGGGUUGGGCUCGAGUAAGGUUUUUUG